GUAAAAUCUGAAUCCGUUGUUAGUAUUAUUUUUCAAAUUAGAACCCAUUCCAAACAUUAUAUACUACCUAUAUCCAUUUUAUUAAUAUUCAAUCAAAUCGGUACCUGCAAAAAAAUCUGAGCCAUUGUUAUUCUUAAUAUAUACUAUCUAAAACUCUAAAAUUAGUGUAUGUACUUGUUAAACUCGAGAGUACCCAUGAAUGCCAACUAGCUAUACCCUAGACAAAAUGUGAUAAAAGAGAUAAGAGUAAUGUUGUCCAACGGAAUUUAUAAGUUUGUACCUUCUAAUGUUAAAUAGAAGAGUAAAAUUUAUAAGUUUGUACCUUCUAAUGUUAAAUAGAAGAGUAA
rnacentral:misc_RNA from 1 species